ensembl:miRNA microRNA 130a
UACUGCUGGCCGAAGCUCUUUUCACAUUGUGCUACUGUCUGCACCUGUCACUAGCAGUGCAAUGUUAAAAGGGCAUUGGCCUUGUGGUG